rnacentral:rRNA from 1 species
AGCAGUGAGGAAUAUUGGUCAAUAGCCUAACGGCUGAACCAGCAACUUGGAGGAACAUACAGCAAUAGCUGGUUGCAUUAACAAUUAGUUUUUACAACAUCGACUAUGUCGAAUAAAGUUCUAGGUAGAGUUAUGAUAAUGACAUUUUCUAUCUAUGUGUCUUGACCAAAUCACGUGCCAGCAGUCGCGGUAAUACGUGGAAGACUAGUGUUAUUCAUCUUUAAUUGGUUUAAAGGGUACCUAGACGGUCUAUUAAGCCCUAAAUGGUACUUACAGACUAGAGUUUGAUGAGAGGGGGGAAGUACGAGAGAGUGUAGAGAUGAAAUUCUGUCAUACCUUACUUGGAACAGGCAACGGCGAAAGCAACUCCUUAUGUAAAAACUGACGUUGAAGGACGAAGGA